rnacentral:rRNA from 1 species
AAGACCUUGCGCUUUUGGAGCGGCCGAUGCCUGAUUAGCUAGUUGGUGGGGUAAUGGCCUACCAAAGCUUCGAUCAGUAGCUGGUCUGAGAGGACGGCCAGCCACACUGGGACUGAGACACGGCCCAGACUCCUACGGGAGGCAGCAGUGGGGAAUUUUGGACAAUGGGCGCAAGCCUGAUCCAGCCAUGCCGCGUGAGUGAAGAAGGCCUUCGGGUUGUAAAGCUCUUUCAGCCGGGAAGAAAAGGUUGCGACUAAUAAUCGCAAUUUAUGACGGUACCGGAAGAAGAAGCACCGGCUAACUACGUGCCAGCAGCCGCGGUAAUACGUAGGGUGCGAGCGUUAAUCGGAAUUACUGGGCGUAAAGGGUGCGCAGGCGGUUUUGUAAGUCAGAUGUGAAAUCCCCGGGCUUAACCUGGGAACU